AGUCGAGCGAGGGUCUUCGGACCCUAGCGGCGGACGGGUGAGUAACACGUAGGCAACCUGCCUCUCAGACUGGGAUAACAUAGGGAAACUUAUGCUAAUACCGGAUAGGUUUUUGGAUGCAUGAUCCGAAAAGAAAAGAUGGCUUCGGCUAUCACUGGGAGAUGGGCCUGCGGCGCAUUAGCUAGUUGGUGGGGUAACGGCCUACCAAGGCGACGAUGCGUAGCCGACCUGAGAGGGUGACCGGCCACACUGGGACUGAGACACGGCCCAGACUCCUACGGGAGGCAGCAGUAGGGAAUUUUCCACAAUGGACGAAAGUCUGAUGGAGCAACGCCGCCUGAACGAUGAAGGUCUUCGGAUUGUAAAGUUCUGUUGUUAGGGACGAAUAAGUACCGUUCGAAUAGGGCGGUACCUUGACGGUACCUGACGAGAAAGCCACGGCUAACUACGUGCCAGCAGCCGCGGUAAUACGUAGGUGGCAAGCGUUGUCCGGAUUUAUUGGGCGUAAAGCGCGCGCAGGCGGCUAUGUAAGUCUGGUGUUAAAGCCCGGAGCUCAACUCCGGUUCGCAUCGGAAACUGUGUAGCUUGAGUGCAGAAGAGGAAAGCGGUAUUCCACGUGUA
rnacentral:rRNA from 1 species